rnacentral:rRNA from 1 species
CGGUGUUUGGCACCUCGAUGUCGGCUCAUCACAUCCUGGGGCUGAAGUAGGUCCCAAGGGUAUGGCUGUUCGCCAUU